CGGAACGGGUGGAGUAACGCGUGAGGAACCUGCCUCGAAGAGGGGGACAACAGUUGGAAACGACUGCUAAUACCGCAUAAGCCCACGGUGCCGCAUGGCACAGAGGGAAAAGGAGCAAUCCGCUUUGAGAUGGCCUCGCGUCCGAUUAGCUGGUUGGCGAGGUAACGGCCCACCAAGGCGACGAUCGGUAGCCGGACUGAGAGGAUGAACGGCCACACUGGAACUGAGACACGGUCCAGACUCCUACGGGAGGCAGCAUG
rnacentral:rRNA from 1 species